rnacentral:rRNA from 1 species
UACGGAGGGGGGCUAGCGUUGUUCGGAAUUACUGGGCGUAAAGCGCACGUAGGCGGCUUUGUAAGUUAGAGGUGAAAGCCCGGGGCUCAACUCCGGAAUUGCCUUUAAGACUGCAUCGCUAGAAUUGUGGAGAGGUAAGUGGAAUUCCGAGUGUAGAGGUGAAAUGCGUAGAUAUCAGGAGGAACACCUGUGGCGAAAGCGGCUCACUGGACCACAACUGACGCUGGAGGCGCGAAAGCUAGGGGAGCAAACAGG